AAAAUUUGAUUUCAAGAAAACUUUGGAGCUCAGCAGUCAUGGUCAAGUGUUCUCAUUACUCUACUCGUUAUGAUUUCUAUGUGUAAGGACCAAGUAGUGGAGAAAUUUUUGAAUGGUAGGGUAUCACCACGUCAGCUGGUGAUACUUCCAUUCAAAAUCUGCCACUUGUUUAUUUUUAUCUUUCAAAAUUAAAACUAAUUACAGCUGGAUAUGAAAUUAUACUUAUAUCCUUUCAAAUAAAAUCUAAAAAAUGGGGAAAAAAAAAAGAGAACGAGUUAUCCGAACUAUCUCCCUCCGCCGCCGCACCCUGCUCUUCAAUUCUCUCUCUCUCUUCUUCCCUACAUUUCUCCGUCUGUCCUCUCUCGAUAACAUAUGAGAAAACUUUAGACUUUUCAAUUGAAUAUGCAGAUCUCAUUCAAUUGAAUAUGUGACUUGCCCAAAAACUGACUUGGGAUCAAUUGGAAUAUGCAGAUCUCAUUCUUCUAAAUGAGAGAGAGAGAAACUGAGAUAGCGGGGAUGAAGGCCAGGGAGGCAAAGCUGAGUGCAGUGGUUGGUGUACAAUAUUCUAGUUUUUUUUAUUUUUUAUUCUUUUUAUUUUGAGGGAGAUGAAUAAAUGGGCAGAAUUUCAAUGUGGAAAUAAACAACAAAUGUAAGAUAAAGUAGUUGUUGGUACAGUAGAGAGAGAUGGAAGGAGGAUUAGAAACUCAGAGAGAGGGGCGGCGAACGGGAACUGGUAAUUUCAGUCGGGUGGGAGUCUGGUGCAAUUUUCUUCUUUGCGGUUUUUCUUUUAUUAAUUUUAUUGUAAAGGGUAAUAUUGGAUGUGAAAGUCCAGCUGUAUAAAAAAAAAAUGUAGUUUUCUUUAAUAAGUGACAAGUGGCAUAUUUUGAGUGGGAGUAUCAUUAUGUGACGUGGUGGUACCGUACCAUUCCAUAAUUUCUCCAAGUAGCGGUAGCAACUUGAAGGUGAAGCUUCCCCAACCCCACCAUAUUAAUUACAAUUUAAUUCAAGCAAAAAUGAAGAGGUUGGUUCUCUAGUCAAAAUUAUAAAUGUUUUAGGAGAUUAGUUGAACCUACUGAAAUGCUC
rnacentral:lncRNA from 1 species